AUUGGAAGUGCACACAAACACGCUCGUCUACAAAGAGAUUUUAGUUCUCAUAGUGUUAACUGCCCCUUCCCUGCACUCCUCUCCCCCCGCUCCACCCCCGCCUGCGGCAAGCACGACCCAGAUCACAUUAGAGUCCCAGAGCACAGGGAACGGUUCUCAUCUAUCCGUCACCAAGGAGGCAGACAGGACAGGGAAACAAGAAGUCAUUUGUACCUGAUGAGGAGGACACUCCUGGGAAACAAACAGAUGAGCCACCACAUGAAUCUGAGCUAUUCUCUGAGGGAACAGUUUUCUCCAUGUACCUGUUGGGGGAGAGAAACAAGGCUGCUUCGACCAUCAAUCUGUGGGACCUCAGAUCUCAGCCUGAAAGCAAGGGUGAAACGAAAUACGAAAAUUGCACUGCAGUAGAAGAGGAGUCAGCUAUCUGAGGGCCUCUGCUGAAAUCCCAUCUUUCGGGUAAGGUUUCUUAUGCAUUUUCGUGUUUUGGUCACCUGACAGUAGCUCUCUGGCCUAAUUGGUUUCCUAGUUAACAGACUAAGUAAUGAUGUAACCAGAGUGUGUGGGAACCAGACCUGUGUGACAGAUACAAUUUUUCCCAGCCAUACUAAUUUUGCCUGCUUACCUGGUUCUGCUGCUGGUUAUCUGGAAAUUUGAACUACUUAAAGGAUAUAAUGAGCUUAGCAAAGGUUGAGACACAGCUUAAUCAUUUAACAUAAAAUUAUCAUCAGCCACAAAAUAUAUUUACUUGUGAAGUCCAGUUAUUUUUCUUACUAAAAAUCACUAUAUAUUAAUAUAUACGGUUGCGUCUACAGAAAUUAUUUACUUUUGCUGUGGUUAGCUAAAGUGAGGAUUAGUUGUAGCCUAAAGGAGAUCAACUUGGUUCAGUUGCAAAUGUCUCAGGAUCCACUUUUUGCUCUUCGCUUCCUGCUGUCCCAGAGUGCUCUCACACAGACAGUGUUGCUCGUUUGUGCUGGUCGUGUUUGUAGCUUCAUGCUCUUGCUAUUGCUUGUAUGGCAGGGCUUCAGAAAGCCUCCAGUUAAGAUCAAGGUCUUAUGGAACUGGGCACUAUAUAAAUGUAUAUAGAGAAACAGUCCUCUGCAUGCAAAGGAGUUGCAUCCCAAGUACAUCAAAGCUUUGAAGAGACAGAGCAGAACCUCUGAGACUCAUUUAAAAAAAAAAAAAAUCAGCCUGAGAAGCAGCCCCAUGUAAAACAAAUGAAAGUAAUUGGGGAAUGGAGGUGAGAUGGAAAGGGAAAACCUGGCUUGGAGGAGUUGAGUCCAGUUUCCUUCUCCAUGUGGCAAGAUGAAGGGCAAAGGGUUUAUCCCUGCUAUAACAUAAAAUCACAGCAACUGCAGGCACCUUGUACUGGGGAGACCUGGUCGUGAGAGCAGCUCGAGUGAGGGAUAUG
rnacentral:lncRNA from 1 species